GACGAACGCUGGCGGCGUGCUUAACACAUGCAAGUCGAACGAAGAGCGAUGGAAGCUUGCUUCUAUCAAUCUUAGUGGCGAACGGGUGAGUAACGCGUAAUCAACCUGCCCUUCAGAGGGGGACAACAGUUGGAAACGACUGCUAAUACCGCAUACGAUCUAAUCUCGGCAUCGAGGAUAGAUGAAAGGUGGCCUCUACAUGUAAGCUAUCACUGAAGGAGGGGAUUGCGUCUGAUUAGCUAGUUGGAGGGGUAACGGCCCACCAAGGCGAUGAUCAGUAGCCGGUCUGAGAGGAUGAACGGCCACAUUGGGACUGAGACACGCCCCAGACUCCUACGGGAAGCAGCAGUGGGGAAUCUUCCGCAAUGGACGAAAGUCUGACGGAGCAACGCCGCGUGAGUGAUGACGGCCUUCGGGUUGUAAAGCUCUGUUAAUCGGGACGAAAGGCCUUCUUGCGAAUAGGGAGAAGGAUUGACGGUACCGGAAAAGAAAGCCACGGCUAACUACGUG
rnacentral:rRNA from 1 species